rnacentral:rRNA from 1 species
UACGUAGGGGGCAAGCGUUGUCCGGAAUCAUUGGGCGUAAAGCGCGUGUAGGCGGCCAGAUAAGUCCGCUGUGAAAUCUCGAGGCUCAACUUCGAGCUGUCGGUGGAAACUGUCUGGCUAGAGUCCGGAAGAGGAGAAUGGAAUUCCUGGUGUAGCGGUGAAAUGCGCAGAUAUCAGGAAGAACACCGGUGGCGAAGGCGGGUCUCUGGGCCGUAACUGACGCUGAGGAGCGAAAGCGUGGGGAGCGAACAGG